AACGAACGCUGGCGGCAUGCCUAACACAUGCAAGUCGAACGAGACCUUCGGGUCUAGUGGCGCACGGGUGCGUAACGCGUGGGAACCUGCCCUUAGGUUCGGAAUAACUCCCCGAAAGGGGUGCUAAUACCGGAUAAUGUCUUCGGACCAAAGAUUUAUCGCCUUUGGAUGGGCCCGCGUUGGAUUAGCUAGUUGGUAGGGUAAAAGCCUACCAAGGCGACGAUCCAUAGCUGGUCUGAGAGGAUGAUCAGCCACACUGGGACUGGGACACGGCCCAGACUCCUACGGGAGGCAGCAGUGGGGAAUAUUGGACAAUGGGCGAAAGCCUGAUCCAGCAAUGCCGCGUGAGUGAUGAAGGCCUUAGGGUGGUAAAGCUCUUUUACCCGGGAUGAUAAUGACAGUACCGGGAGAAUAAGCUCCGGCUAACUCCGUG
rnacentral:rRNA from 1 species